rnacentral:tRNA from 1 species
AGAAAUAUGUCUGAUAAAAGAGUUACUUUGAUAGAGUAAAUUAUAGAGGUUCAAUUCCUCUUAUUUCUA